GUGAAAAUCUACAGGUUAGCUGUCAAGCAAAAGGGUUGGAGAAACCGCAAAACUAAUUUGGAGACUGGUCCAACAAGGGUUGGUGUUGGGAGUACCAUGUGGAUGAGCCUCCCUGGGUGACUCUGGAGAAGCUGGGCUUCUCUGCAGCGACCAUGACAGGUGUGGGGCAAACACUGUUGUGGCAUCUACUGUACACAAAAACACCACGUGACAGUCAUUACAAAAACCACUGGGUGUCACUGCUGCAACAAGACAGGAGUAUUUUCACCAUAGUUGGUCAGAAUUGUACUACUGCAUCACUGUGUUUGAUUGGAGGGGUGUCCAUGGUCAGUGCUAACUUUGGUGAGGAUGUAUUUUUUGUAUGUCGGUGUCAUUUUAUUGUUGAUAAUAGAAUAUAACGUGGCUACAGUACUGAUGUCAUAGUGUAACUAUAGUGCCUUCAGAAAGUAUUCACCCUGCUGGACUUUUUCCAGAUUUUAUUAGACUGAUGGAUUUUAAAUGGAUUUUGUCACUGGCCUACACACAAUACCCUAUAAUGUCAAAGUGGAAUUAUGUUUUUAGGCAUUCUUAUAAAAUAGCUUAAUAUUAAAAGCUGAAAUGUCUUGAGUCAACUAUUCAAGUUAUGGCAAGCCUA